GAGUUUGAUCCUGGCUCAGUACGAACGCUGGCGGCGUGCCUAACACAUGCAAGUCGAACGUGAUCCAGAGCUUGCUCUGGUGAAAGUGGCGCACGGGUGAGUAACGCGUGGAUAACCUACCCUGGUAUCCGGGAUAACAUUCCGAAAGGGGUGCUAAUACCGGAUAAGCCCACGGGCUCUUUGGAGCUUGCGGGAAAAGGUGGCCUCUAUUUAUAAGCUACUGUAUCAGGAUGGGUCCGCGUACCAUUAGCUAGUUGGCGGUGUAACGGACCACCAAGGCGACGAUGGUUAGCUGGUCUGAGAGGAUGAUCAGCCACACUGGAACUGAGACACGGUCCAGACUCCUACGGGAGGCAGCAGUGGGGAAUUUUGCGCAAUGGGGGAAACCCUGACGCAGCAACGCCGCGUGAGUGAUGAAGGCCUUUGGGUCGUAAAGCUCUGUCAGAGGGGAAGAAAUGAUAUAGUGCUAAUACCACUUUAUCUUGACGGUACCCUCAAAGGAAGCACCGGCUAACUCCGUGCCAGCAGCCGCGGUAAUAC
rnacentral:rRNA from 1 species